AUUUUCUGAUUUCAAAGAUUCAUACUUACCUUUAGUCAAUCAACUUCUCGUUGUUACAUGCAACCAAUUUUUCAAUAAAUUGAAGCUCGUAUACAGAGAAAUCAACCAAGGACGCAGCAAUUGCAUUUUGAUUUCAUGUAAAGCGGUGUUGUUCAGUGAUUCUGUGAUGUGAUUAUAAGGUUAAGAUGGCGGCAGCCUUGACAUGGCGAGAAUACAAUUCUGUGUGAGUCCGAGGGUUAGUGCAAGAGAUGAUGCUAACAUGAGUUUUGUUGGGUGGAGAACAAUUUAUAGAGGGGAAGCGGAAGAGCUCUGGACGUAGGAUCUGCAGCUACAUUCUUUGCGAGGUCAGUGUUGGUGACGAAGACCAUCGGACCUAGAGUUAUGAAUCUUACAACACAAAAUGUGAUCUCGGUCAUCGGCGAGUAGCGGUGAAGUCCAAGCUUCUGCCUUAGAAUUCUCACUGUCAACCUAAUUCUCGCAGCUCUAAUUGUUACAAGCUACAAGUGAGAAGACGGUUUCAGUUUUGGAUUGGGUUAAGAGUACUAGUUUGAUGGGCUUAAUUCAUAUGCACAACAUGGAGUUCUGUUUGUAGGCAUCUUGAGUGAUUGGUCUUAUCAACAGUUGUUUUAGAUCGUCUAAUUCUCUAUCGUUGCGACGACUCUGAAUUUCAAUCUGCUUGGGACACAAGUCUUUCAUCUUUCGUAACGGAGUUUGCAGGGUUUGACCUUACCAAUUGAAAUAUGCGUGAAGUACAAGAUUCACGACGUCAUGCUCCAGUCAAGUGAAUUGUGGAUAUGGCACUUCGUGCCUUUAACGGCUUUGUGAGCCUUCAAGAAGAGCUUGAGGCGCAAACAUACAAUGAGGUACACAACGGCUUCCUUAAUCAUUCCCCAAGUUUUCAAUGGUGAGUAGUUCCCAUGAGGUUGCAUAUUUGGUAAGUUUGGAAGACUGAUUUGAUUGGUUGGUUUCGAAGUAUUCUGGAAACUUCGCAAGCUGAUCCAGUUACCAGGUUGCAGAGUUCCAUGACGUUGUAUUUCCUUACAUUGUGCCGCAAAGAGUUUCUUCGUGACGCCACAUUGUAAAUAUCCAAGAAUUGAUGGAUGCGCUUUAGUUACAGAGAGCUAGAUUCACAUAUAACGUACAUAUAAUUUUGUAACAGUAGCCUUAACUCAUCCUGCCAUAACAUCUUGAUAAAAUCACUAACAUUGCAAUGAAAUUAGAUGAGGCGAGUGACAUGUACUGAAAUGUCUCUUGCCUUGUCUUAGUAACCAUCAGGAAUUUUCUUGAUUUGAUAGGCCUUUGUGUUGGAAAACGAGUGACUCUAAGGCGUAGUGAAAGCAACCAAGAAACUAUUGUAAGCUGAAAGAUUAUCAUUUUUCUAAGGAAACAGAUCUGAAGAUCAAAGCAAGAGGUGGCGAUCCAACAACAGAGGUAUCCGAUGAAGGAAGGGGAGAGCACAUGGGGAGGUCUCCAUCUUCAGAACCUUCACCUUGGCAACGUGGUAUUCAGAUGUCCCAUUAGUUAUCCUGGUUGGACUUAUUAAUUGAAAGAAAGGCUCACUGAUAAUAGGCCUCUUGUAAGGAAUGCUUCACUUAAAAAACUGAUAGAAAGCCCGAAUUUGUUGCUCCCCAGACCAGUCACUAUAGAAGCUAGUUUCACUAUCAUCUCUUACUAGUGUGACUAGUUCACAAGCUUGUAAUUUCGGAAUACUGGCAAUGGUUCUGAAGAAUGUCACCAAAUGACCAGCUUCCGCGAGCCUUGAAGGCUACUGUUACAAAAUUUUAUGGCAGGAUGUCUUCGAUUCUUCACUGUGGUCA